rnacentral:rRNA from 1 species
UACAGAGGUCCCAAGCGUUGUUCGGAUUCACUGGGCGUAAAGGGUGCGUAGGUGGCCGGUUAAGUCUGACGUGAAAUCUCCGAGCCUAACUCGGAAACUGCAUCGGAAACUAUCCGGCUCGAGCACAGUAGAGGCAGGUGGAAUUCCCGGUGUAGCGGUGGAAUGCGUAGAGAUCGGGAAGAACAUCAGUGGCGAAGGCGGCCUGCUGGGCUGUUGCUGACGCUGAGGCGCGACAGCGUGGGGAGCAAACAGG